rfam:Arabis alpina cultivar Pajares scaff_60962_1_contig_3, whole genome shotgun sequence.
GUGGACGUGCCGGAGUGGUUAUCGGGCAUGACUAGAAAUCAUGUGGUCUUAGGCCGCGCAGGUUCGUAUCCUGCCGUUCACG